rnacentral:rRNA from 1 species
CCUACGGGAGGCAGCAGUGGGGAAUAUUGGACAAUGGGCGCAAGCCUGAUCCAGCCAUGCCGCGUGGGUGAUGAAGGCCUUAGGGUUGUAAAGCCCUUUCACUGGCGACGAUGAUGACGGUAGCCAGAGAAGAAGCCCCGGCUAACUCCGUGCCAGCAGCCGCGGUAAUACGGAGGGGGCAAGCGUUGUUCGGAAUUACUGGGCGUAAAGGGCGCGUAGGCGGUCCGUCGCGUCAGGUGUGAAAGCCCCGGGCUCAACCUGGGAGGUGCACUUGAUACGGGCGGGCUGGAGGCCGAGAGAGGUGAGUGGAAUUCCCAGUGUAGAGGUGAAAUUCGUAGAUAUUGGGAAGAACACCAGUGGCGAAGGCGGCUCACUGGCUCGGACCUGACGCUGAGGCGCGAAAGCGUGGGGAGCAAACAGGAUUAGAUACCCCAGUAGUC